rnacentral:rRNA from 1 species
GACAGAGGGGGCAAGCGUUGCUCGGAAUCACUGGGCGUAAAGGGCGCGUAGGCGGGAUGGCAAGUCGGUCGUGAAAUCCUUCGGCCCAACCGAAGAACGUCGGCCGAUACGUGCCGUUCUUGAGGGAUGCAGAGGAGACUGGAAUUCCCGGUGUAGCGGUGAAAUGUGUAGAGAUCGGGAGGAACACCGGUGGCCGAAGGCGGGUCUGCUCGGCGAUUUCCUGACGCUGAGGCGACGAAAGCGUGGGGGAGCAAACGGG